GCCGCCGCGGUAAUACGUAGGGUGCAAGCGUUGUCCGGAAUUAUUGGGCGUAAAGAGCUCGUAGGCGGUUUGUUGCGUCGGCUGUGAAAACCUGAGGCUCAACCUCAGGCCUGCAGUCGAUACGAGCAGACUAGAGUGUUGCAGGGGAGACUGGAAUUCCUGGUGUAGCGGUGAAAUGCGCAGAUAUCAGGAGGAACACCGGUGGCGAAGGCGGGUCUCUGGGCAACAACUGACGCUGAGGAGCGAAAGCGUGGGGAGCGAACAGGAUUAGAUACCCUGGUAGUCAACGCCGUAAACGUUGGGCGCUAGGUGUGGGGCUCAUUCCACGAGUUCCGUGCCGCAGCUAACGCAUUAAGCGCCCCGCCUGGGGAGUACGGCCGCAAGGCUAAAACUCAAAGGAAUUGACGGGGGCCCGCACAAGCGGCGGAGCAUGUUGCUUAAUUCGAUGCAACGCGAAGAACCUUACCUAGGCUUGACAUGCACGGAAAUCCUCCAGAGAUGGGGGGUCCGCAAGGGUCGUGCCACAGGUGGUGCAUGGUUGUCGUCAGCUCGUGUCGUGA
rnacentral:rRNA from 1 species